rnacentral:rRNA from 1 species
GCGGGAUGCCUACGGGAGGCAGCAGUGGGGAAUGUGUGCACAAUGGGCGGAAGCCUGAUGCAGCAACGCCGCGUGGCGGGAUGGACGGCCUUCGGGUGUGUAAACCGCUUUCGCCUGUGACGAAGCGUGAGUGACGGUAAUGGGGUAAAGAAGCACCGGCUAACUACGGUGCCAGCAGCCGCGGUGAUACGGUAGGGUGCGAGCGUUGUCCGGAUUUAUUGGGCGUAAAGGGCUCGUAGGUGGUUGAUCGCGUCGGAAGUGUAAUCUUGGGGCUUAACCCUGAGCGCGCUUUCGAUACGGGUUGACUUGAGGAAGGUAGGGGAGAAUGGAAUUCCUGGUGGAGCGGUGGAAUGCGCAGAUAUCAGGAGGAACACCAGUGGCGAAGGCGGUUCUCUGGGCCUUUCCUGACGCUGAGGAGCGAAAGCGUGGGGAGCGAACAGGCUUAGAUACCCUGGUAGUCCACGCUGUAAACGGUGGGUACUAGGUGUGGGGUCCAUUCCACGGGUUCCGUGCCGUAGCUAACGCUUUAAGUACCCCGCCUGGGGAGUACGGCCGCAAGGCUAAAACUCAAAGGAAUUGACGGAAUCACUAGU